GACGAACGCUGGCGGCGUGCCUAAUACAUGCAAGUAGAACGCACAGUUUAUACCGUAGCUUGCUACACCAUAGACUGUGAGUUGCGAACGGGUGAGUAACGCGUAGGUAACCUGCCUGGUAGCGGGGGAUAACUAUUGGAAACGAUAGCUAAUACCGCAUAAUAUUAAUUAUUGCAUGAUAAUUGAUUGAAAGAUGCAACUGCAUCACUACCAGAUGGACCUGCGUUGUAUUAGCUAGUAGGCGAGGUAACGGCUCACCUAGGCGACGAUACAUAGCCGACCUGAGAGGGUGAGCGGCCACACUGGGACUGAGACACGGCCCAGACGCCUACGGGAGGCAGCAGUAGGGAAUCUGCGGCAAUGGACGAAAGUCUGACCGAGCAACGCCGCGUGAGUGAAGAAGGUUGUCGGAUCGUAAAGCUCUGUUGUAAGAGAAGAACGGGUGUGAGAGUGGAAAGUUCACACUGUGACGGUAUCUUACCAGAAAGGGACGGCUAACUACGUG
rnacentral:rRNA from 1 species